rnacentral:rRNA from 1 species
CGCGUAGGUGGCCUUUUGAGUCAGACGUGAAAUCCCCCGGCUUAACCUGGGAACUGCGUCUGAUACUGGAAGGCUUGAGUUCGGGAGAGGGAUGUGGAAUUCCAGGUGUAGCGGUGAAAUGCGUAGAUAUCUGGAGGAACACCGGUGGCGAAGGCGGCAUCCUGGACCGAAACUGACACUGAGGCGCGAAAGCCAGGGAGCAAACG